UGUGCAGAUUAACUUGUGCAGGAAGGUCUUAAAUACAUGUUUCAAGAUAAAGGCCUUGUAACUGUAUGGUCUGCUCCAAAUUAUUGUUAUCGCUGUGGUAAUGUAGCUUCAAUAUUGAGCAUCAAUGAGAAUAUGGAGAGAGAGGUGAAGUUCUUCAUUGAAACAGAGGAAAACAACCAGAUGAGAGGCCCCAGAACUGGAGUGCCUUAUUUCUUAUGAGUGAGGAUUUGUUUGCUUCAUUACCCUGUACUAUUGUUUGAAGUUUGAUGCACUGCUGUUUUCAUUGUGAGGGGGAGAGAAAGAAGAUAUGGACAGAUGUUUUCCUUAGAGGAUCCCUGAAAAAGAUUACAUGAAUAUUCUUGCAACAUAGAAUACAUUCAAGCUUUUGUUCCUAACCUGCUCUGCUUUUAAAUAGCUUGUUUGUGUUGUAAAUGCCUACUUUUCCUUUUUCGUUGCUUCUGUUUUAGUUUAUUAUACAUUUUUUAAAAAUCUUUUAUCUAGUUUGUGAGUUUAUUUGGAAUUCGAUAAGCUUACAGUUAGUAGCUGGCCAGUGCUAGAUCAGAUGAUUUGGAAAUUUGAGAGAUUAAAUCUAUAUUCCUCAUUGAGUUAAGACAUUUUAUUUCGGAUUGACUAUUGAGUGAGUUCAUUCUCUCGUCUCUACUUGUAGCAUCCAUUCUAGGGGAACCUACAUGGAUCUCAAACGCCACACCAAAAGGCUAAAUAGAUGAAGAGAAGCAAAAGUGGAUAGGCAUCUGAAAGCAACCUCAACAAUCUGGCUGCUCUCUUAGGGCAGAGGCGUAGUAUGCCUCCUCACAGCUACAAGGCCUUUAUCUUGAAACAUGU